UCCGGUUUGGCACCGGCAGUCCCCCGAGAGUCCUCAGCGCCUUGCGGCCUGUUAGCAACACGGGGCGGGGGUUGCGCUCGUUGCGGGACUUAACCCAACAUCUCACGACACGAGCUGACGACAGCCAUGCAGCACCUGUCUCCGGUCCAGCCGAACUGAAAAGCUCCAUCUCUGGUGCUCGCGACCGGGAUGUCAAAGGCUGGUAAGGUUCUGCGCGUUGCUUCGAAUUGAACCACAUGCUCCACCGCUUGUGCGGGCCCCCGUCAAUUCCUUUGAGUUUCAACCUCGCGGUCGUACUCCCCAGGCGGGGCACUUAAUGCGUUAGCUACGACACUGAUCCAGCUAAGCCGAACCAACAUCUAGUGAUUAUCGUUUACGGCGUGGACUAC
rnacentral:misc_RNA from 1 species